CAGAUGUGAUUCACACAGUGGGGCCGAUUGUACAAGGAGCAGUUGGAAAGGUGGAGAAAAAAGACUUGAGGUUGUGCUACGAAAACAGCCUGACAGAAGCCACCAAGAAUGAAGUUCGCUCUGUGGCUUUCCCUUGCAUCUCCACUGGAAUCUACGGAUAUCCAAGUAAGCAGGCUGUGCAAGAGGCAUUGGCAACUGUGAGGGAGUAUCUGGAUAAACAUCAUGACAAGCUGGACAGAGUCAUCUU